CGGGUAGAGUAAUACAUCGGAACGUGCCCUGUAGUGGGGGAGUAACUAGUCGAAAGAUUAGCUAAUACCGCAUACGACCUGAGGGUGAAAGUGGGGACCGCAAGGCCUCAUGCUAUAGGAGCGGCCGAUGUCUGAUUAGCUAGUUGGUGGGGUAAAGGCCUACCAAGGCGACGAUCAGUAGCUGGUCUGAGAGGACGAUCAGCCACACUGGGACUGAGACACGGCCCAGACUCCUACGGGAGGCAGCAGCC
rnacentral:rRNA from 1 species